AGUGCCCGCUGGAGGUGGUCUUUAACAGCUAAGAGAACACACAACUGCUUUGAAUUAUGCAUCCUAAUGAGCAUAGAGGGCUACAUUCAAGCAGAUAUUUAUGAAAGCAAAACAUGGUACGCAAAAUGACCAAGACUAGGAUAACGUUACAUAUCACUGUGUUUCUGCAACAACAGAUGCAACUAUUCAGGAUUGGAGUUUUAAGUAAACAAUACGCCACAAGGAAGUGUGACAGGGUUUAAGAAUAUAGGCUGCUGUGAUUUAGCUGUCCCUUGAGGAGAGGAGCACACAUCAAGAAGGCUUUCAGGAGUGUUGUUCCAUUUUAAUUUACCAGGAGGAGAAAAGAAUCUAUUUUUCAUUAGAGUUCCUGGUGGUAACCACAGAGACAGCCAGUAACUUGGUAAAUACAAUAACGACUCCAUGAAAAUCAUGAAUGAAGGAUAUAAUUUUUAAAAGAUCAACCCAUGAGGAUAAUUUCCAGGAUGACCUACACAAGGCAUUUCAGUCCCUGAAGCAACAAACUGAAGAGAAAAUUUGAGCAAAUGGGCUUUUGAACACCUCUUAGACCCCUGGCUCUUCCCCUGCCUAUGAAGAGAAUUGGCCCUAAAGGGAAGAAUUCUAUUGCUUUUGUAUAAUCUACAGCCCUCAGGAGAGGGUUUCUUGCUACUCUGAAUAACCCUAUUAUGUAGCACAACUUCAGUGAACCAACAGUGAUAUUUUGCUAUGCAGCUCUGAUUCCUAUUUAAUUGAAUCAUCCAUUUUUUUAAAAAAAAAAUAGCUUUCUUUAGGUAUAAUUUACAUACCACAAAAUUCACCCAUUCAUAGUAUACAGUUGAGUAAUUUUUAGUGUAUUCUCAGAGUUGUGCAACCAUCACCACUAUCUAACUUUCAAACAUUCCCAUCUUCCCCAAAAGAAACCCUGUACACAUGAGCAGACAUUCUUCAUUUCCACCCCCACUACCCCAACCCAGCACUAGGUAACAAUCUAUUUUCUGGCUCUAUAAAUUUGUCUAUUCUGGACUUUUCAUACGAAUGGAAUCAUACAAUAUGUGACCUUUUGUGACUGGCUUCCUUCACCUAGCAUAAUGUUUUCAAGAUUCAUCCAUGUUGUAGCAUGUAUCAGUAAUACUUCACUCCUUCUUAUUGCCAAAUGAUAUUCCAUUAUAUGGAUGUACCACCAUUGUUUAUCCAUUCAUCAGUUGAUGGACAUUUGCAUUGUUUCCACUUUCUGUCUAUUAUGAAUAAUGGUGCUAUGAAUAAUGCUUGUUGUUAGUGUACAACUUUUUGUGUGGAUAUAUGUUUUCAAUUCUCUUGGGUAUAUCCUGUAGGGGAGGAAGAGAGUUCCUCUACCCUCUAGGUCCUUCUGGCUGGGCUAUGAAUUAAAUUGACAUGAGACAGAAGAACAGGAGAAAAUCAAACAAAGCUUUAUAACAUGUAUACCUGGGAGAAACCCGGGAAAACUGAGCAACUUAGCCAGAAUGGCCAAAACUACCACCUUAAAUAGCAUCUUUAGCUAAAGACAAAGGAGGAUGUUGGAGGUGGAGGGAGUCAGUAAUGGGAGAUUACCAGAAAAUUAUGGUAAACAAGAGUAAGGUUAUGAUGCAGAUUUAAGUCCUUGGCUUCCACACUGAUAAGAGUUUCUAGAGAUAAGGUCAUCCCCCCUUCUUCCUGGUACAGAGAGGGAGACAUCUUUACAAAUGGAGAGUUCCCCUAGAAAUGUAAAUAUCUCUUACAAACGGUAACUUCUACUUGGUUUUCAGAGCUUCUCCCCUGCCUGCAGUUUCUUAAAAGUAACGAGCCCAAAAUAAUCCUCAUGCCAGAGAAACACAUUUUGGGGUGGCCAAUUCUGAUCCCCCAUUCCUCACUGUGGAAUUGCUGCGUCAUACGGUAAUUCUACAUUUAACAUUUUGAGGAACUACCAAACUAUUUCCAAAGUGGCUACACCAGUUUUAUUCCCAUCAGCAAGGUAUGAGGGUUCCAAUUUCUCCACGUCUUCACCAACAGUUGUUAUUGCCACCCUCAUGGGUAUGAAGUUGUAUCUUGUUAUGGUUUUGAUUUGCCUUCCCCUAAUGAUGGCAAUCAUCUUUUCAUGUGCUUAUUGGCCAUUUGUGUAUCUUCCUUGGAGAAAUGUUCAUUCACAUCUUUUGUCCACUUUUAAUUGUAUUAUUUGUCCUUUUAUUAUUGAGUUGUAAGAGUUCUUAAUAUAUUCUGGAUAUAAGUUAUUUGUCAGAUACAUAAUUUGCUAAUAUUUUCUCCCAUUCUCUGGGCUGUCAUUUUACUUUUUUGUUGGUUUCUUUUGAAGCACAAAAAUCUUUAAUUUUGAGGUAGUCCAAUUUGUCUAUUUUUAUUUUUGUUGCUUAUUCUUUUGGAGUCAUAUCCAAGAAAACACUGCCUAUCCCAAGGUCACAAAGGUUUACAUUUAUGUUUUCUUCUAAGAGUUUUAUACUUUUAGCUUUUAACUUUAGGUCUAGGAUCUGUUUUGGAUUAAUUUUUGUAUAUGGUAUGAGGUGGUGUCUCACUUUAUUCUUUUUUGAGUAGAUAUCUGGUUAUCCCAACACCAUUUGUUGAAAUUGCAUAAGCUUUUAAACCACAUACUAGAAAGCUGUUAAGUUAGCAGUUACAUUAGCUGUCUGUCACUGAGCAUCCGAGUAAGCAAAUUCAACUCUGGGAGCUUUCGGAAUCAGUAUUUGUUUCUGUAGAUUU
ensembl:lncRNA